AGACUCAAUCAGCACGCUAACAUCUGCAGUGUGAUGCUGGAGUGCCUUGGUCCGUGAACAUACCAGCGUGUGCCCGAUGCCAAAAAAUUAACAACAACUUUUCAACAGAAAUUUCAAGUUCACUAUAAUUAUACUGGCACAGCUGACCAAGCGAUCUGCAAGACUGUGUAUGCUGACCUAAUCAAAAACAAGUUUACUGUCAAAACUCUGUUUGAUCAAUUUGGAAGUAUUUGCAACCUGGUAUCCGGCGCAUCCAUCUCAGCAGUGUCCGUAACUAACCCUGCUACCGAUGUUGUUAUUGAUGAUACAAGUAAACAGGUGUUUAUUGACUAUACCAUAUUAUAUAUUUGGACUAUCAAGUCAGCGCUAUCCACUUGUUCUUCACUACUUAAGACAACUUUAGAAACGACUGGAACUGAGCAGUCGAAUGUAAUGGAUGGUGACUUGAGUCCAAUUGGUUGUCCUGUACUAAGAGUGGUUUACCAAGCAAAACCAGAUGACUCGUCUGCAGUUGCGCUGGAGGUCUCCAAGAACUACGCGUGCCCUAGCGACAAGAAAAAUAUUCUGUUUAAAGGUUCUGAGAUGUGCUUGGAAUGUCCCGAGGGUACCUACAACAGCGGUGUCAGCACAUGUCAGCUGUGUCCAAUAGGAACGUACAAUAAUCGAUCUGGACAGACCGCCUGUUUGAACUGUGACCCUGGCUAUUAACUAUACUGUAUUUAGUCACGUAUUAUUAUGUUUAAGUGGAAUGUCCCGAGGGUACCUACAACAGCGGUGUCAGCACAUGUCAGCUGUGUCCAAUAGGAACGUACAAUAAUCGAUCUGGACAGACCGCCUGUUUGAACUGUGACCCUGGCACCAGUACAUACAGAGAGGGAAGUACAAACUCGUCACAUU